UGGGGAUCCAGCAGUGACAAGGAAGACAGUCAAGAACUUUGCCCUCCUGGAACCCUCAUUCUAUGAGACAAACAAUUGUACAUUACAGCAAACAUGAACACGAGCAGGAUACCAGUUCAGACAGUGCCUCGAUGCCCUGAUGAUGGGGAAAAUGUUCAAUUCUCCUUCCUUUGAUAUUAAGGUUGGGGAAUAUCGGUGAAAGGCCAGGGAACUUGCAAGCAGCCAUCCUCUCAUUCCAAGAUAGAGAAUUAAAAUGUGCCUGGAGGAGGUUGGGACCCAACCCAGAGCACUGGCUCCCUGGGCCUGAAGGAAGCCAUGCCGUGGAGGACUGCAGCUUAUUCUUAUUGUUCUAGAUGGGUUCUAAGAGUCCACAGCUUUUCAGAGUAAAGCAAGAUAAACACAUAAGUGACACCUAGAGGACAGAAAGUUAAAAACCAUCCAGUACACGGGCCUCUCACCGUUGUGGCCUCUCCCGUUGCGGAGCACGGGCUCCGGACGCGCAGGCUCAGCGGCCAUGGCUCACGGGCCCAGUCGCUCCAUGGCAUGUGGGAUCUUCCCGGACCGGGGCACGAACCCAUGUCCCCUGCAUCGGCAGGCGGACUCUCAACCACUGCGCCACCAGGGAAGCCCGAGAUCACUCACUCUGGGGAAAACCAGCUGAGGACACUAAAGCAAUCCUCUGGAGAAGUCUAUAUGGUGAGGAACUGAGGCCAACUGCCAACAGCUAGCACUAAUUUGGCAGGUAUGGAAAUAGGCCAUUUUGGAGGUGGAUCCUCCAGUCCCAACAACUCUUCAGAUAUAGCCCUAGCCGAUGCCUUGACUGCAACCUCAUCAGAGAGACCCAGAGCCUGAACUGAGACAGGCUUGUUGCCGAAAUUACCCUCUGUACACCGGUGCCGAUUUAAAUCUGGGAGACAGAGUUUUGUGUGAAGUAGAAAGAAAUCGCUUUAUUGCUUUGCCAGGCAAAGGGGACCACAACAGGCUAAUGCCCUCAAGACUGUAUGUCCCACCCUGGACGGGGGUAGUGAGGAGUCUUUAACAGUGUUCAGGGAGCAGGGCGUGAUCAGCUCGUGGACAUUCUUCUGAUUGGUUGGUGGUGAGGAAAUUGGGAGUCAGCAUCAUCAAACUUCUGGUUCCAGCCGGUCUGGGGUCUACGUGCUUGUGGGCAGCAUAAGGUUAAUUUCUUCCACCUGGUGGCGGUUUCAGUAUCUGCAGAACAGCUCAAAGGACAUGGCUCCGAAUAUUAUCUAUAGACCUUGGGGAAGAACCAAAGGUCCUUGACUUUGUUUAAUGGCCAAAGUAUUAUUAUUUUGUCUUGCUUGACUGUAUUCCUUUCUUUCUGCAUUUUCUCACUUCUCUGAUUAAAUUUAUUCUUUGAAUAAAGUUUUUCUACAGACAAAAGUCAGGCGGAGGACAUGGGUGGGGUCUAUUCCAGGAAGGCCUCGUAGUGUCCUGCUAGGUUACAGGCUGGGACCUGGGACCUGGGACCCUUUGCAGCAAUGCUUGCACCUGGACAAACGUCUCGUCAAGCAACAAAUACAAAGAAACUCCAAGGGGCUAAAAAUAACUGCAUGCAUGCGCAUUUGGGGCAAAUUAUGAACAAGAUACAAAAAGCCCCAAAACCUGACUUCCACAUCUGAGGAGUCGGGAGCAAAAGCAUGGUAGCGCACAUGAUCCUUGCACACAGCACCACCAAGAGGAUGGGCACCCCACCCAAGCUACCCCUGCAGCCUGACCCCCGGACCUGCCCCUACCCUCGCCCCAUGUAAGGGACCAGCUUGCCCUCCCCUCAGGGAGCAAGCAGGGCCACCUGUUACUUGUUUUCGCGCCGUCCUGCUACAGUAUGAGUCCCAAUAAAGCCUUGCCUGAA